rnacentral:rRNA from 1 species
UUGACCUCGGAUCAGGUAGGAGC